GUGAAUCAUCGAAUUUUUGAACGCAAAUUGCACUCUCCUCUGAGAGUAUGCCUGUUUGAGGGUCAGCCUAUAAAAAAUCGACAUCGUUGCUGUUUCGCGGUGGCGUUUGUCGGAAAUUGGGUCAGCUUAAAUCCUUUUGAUUUAAGCGACUUAAAAUUUUCUUUUUUGUUCCAUUAACGUUUCUAAGAUUGAUUUCUUUACACGUUUAAGGUAUCGAUUUUUAUUAGACGUUACGUUCAUAUCGGAUCGCGUCCAUAAUCUUUCAUUAACUGACCUCAGAAUGGUAAGAGUAUCCGCUG
rnacentral:misc_RNA from 1 species